UACUAAACAGCUAGCUUAAAUAAC
rnacentral:rRNA from 1 species